AGCGCAGGUGGUUGUAUAAGUCUGAAGUAAAAGGCAGUGGCUCAACCAUUGUGUGCUUUGGAAACUGUGCAACUUGAGUGCAGAAGGGGAGAGUGGAAUUCCAUGUGUAGCGGUGAAAUGCGUAGAUAUAUGGAGGAACACCGGUGGCGAAAGCGGCUCUCUGGUCUGUAACUGACACUGAGGCUCGAAAGCGUGGGAGCAAACA
rnacentral:rRNA from 1 species